CGCACCUGUCUGCGCCUCAGCCAAUCCAAUAACACAUCACUCAGCCGGUGUGUGAGGACUCACAGUCGCCUCGUGUGUUCAGAUCCUCCUGCUGCUGAACGCUCCGCUCUCAUUGGUGGCCAGAACCUGCACUUUCAACCAGGAGACCGGGCUUCAUGUCACUGAACGCUGGAUGUUUUUCUUGUCCUCCUCAGUUAGCCACGAGUACGAGAACUGUGUGUUUCUGUCUACGUGACUGACUGAACACUUUCCAGCGCUGAGCGUUCGGCAGCAGCGCCGCACGGCGGCAACCUGGUCUGGUUCAUUUAAAGAGGAACAUUGUGACUGGACCUUCACAUCAGGACGAUCAGGUCCGGACCAGAGUUCAGCUCUGAGCUCACGUACCUGUCCACACACGGACAGUCGGACCCGUCUAUUACAGGGCUGGAAAUGGACCAGGACAGCUUCCGUCUAACGCCUGACCUUUGACCCUACAGCUGUGAGUGUGUUUGUUGGUUAGUGUCCCCUGCGGCUGCAGAGCUCACACCGGCACACAUGGAGACCAUUUACACAGAGUGUAACUGAUAAAUACCUUGAUCCUAUUACCGUUACAUAAGAGGACACGUCCACACUCCCUCGCACAGGAAGUUGGU